rnacentral:rRNA from 1 species
GCCCUUCGGGGUACACGAGCGGCGAACGGGUGAGUAACACGUGGGUGAUCUGCCUCGUACUCUGGGAUAAGCCUGGGAAACUGGGUCUAAUACCGGAUAUGACCACGAAUCGCAUGGUUUGUGGUGGAAAGAUUUAUCGGUGCGAGAUGGGCCCGCGGCCUAUCAGCUUGUUGGUGGGGUAAUGGCCUACCAAGGCGACGACGGGUAGCCGGCCUGAGAGGGCGACCGGCCACACUGGGACUGAGACACGGCCCAGACUCCUACGGGAGGCAGCAGUGGGGAAUAUUGCACAAUGGGCGGAAGCCUGAUGCAGCGACGCCGCGUGAGGGAUGACGGCCUUCGGGUUGUAAACCUCUUUCGACAGGGACGAAGCGCAAGUGACGGUACCUGUAGAAGAAGCACCGGCCAACUACGUGCCAGCAGCCGCGGUAAUACGUAGGGUGCGAGCGUUGUCCGGAAUUACUGGGCGUAAAGAGCUUGUAGGCGGUUCGUCGCGUCGAUCGUGAAAACUUGCAGCUCAACUGCGAGCUUGCGGUCGAUACGGGCGGACUAGAGUACUGCAGGGGAGACUGGAAUUCCUGGUGUAGCGGUGAAAUGCGCAGAUAUCAGGAGGAACACCGGUGGCGAAGGCGGGUCUCUGGGCAGUAACUGACGCUGAGAAGCGAAAGCGUGGGUAGCGAACAGGAUUAGAUACCCUGGUAGUCCACGCCGUAAACGGUGGGCGCUAGGUGUGGGUUUCCUUCCACGGGAUCCGUGCCGUAGCUAACGCAUUAAGCGCCCCGCCUGGGGAGUACGGCCGCAAGGCUAAAACUCAAAGGAAUUGACGGGGGCCCGCACAAGCGGCGGAGCAUGUGGAUUAAUUCGAUGCAACGCGAAGAACCUUACCUGGGUUUGACAUACACCAGAAAGCUGCAGAGAUGUAGCCCCCCUUGUGGUUGGUGUACAGGUGGUGCAUGGCUGUCGUCAGCUCGUGUCGUGAGAUGUUGGGUUAAGUCCCGCAACGAGCGCAACCCUUGUCCUGUGUUGCCAGCGCGUUAUGGCGGGGACUCGCAGGAGACUGCCGGGGUCAACUCGGAGGAAGGUGGGGACGACGUCAAGUCAUCAUGCCCCUUAUGUCCAGGGCUUCACACAUGCUACAAUGGCCGGUACAGAGGGCUGCGAUACCGUGAGGUGGAGCGAAUCCCUUAAAGCCGGUCUCAGUUCGGAUCGGGGUCUGCAACUCGACCCCGUGAAGUUGGAGUCGCUAGUAAUCGCAGAUCAGCAACGCUGCGGUGAAUACGUUCCCGGGCCUUGUACACACCGCCCGUCACGUCAUGAAAGUCGGUAACACCCGAAGCCGGUGGC